GUUAAAAGCAGCGCCACAAGAAAGGCCAGAAUUGUAGGAACAGCAAUGUCACAGAGAAGUGUGGAGCUGGAAGAAAUCAAAGUAAAUGCAAGUGACCUGAGCACUGAACACAGCUAGAGUAACGAUUGGUCAAGAACAAUAUAUCAUUUGUUGGACACAUUUAAAGGAGUGAAAGGAAGAAAGUCUGGUGAAUGACCAAAUGCUCUUCCACCACCAAAGACGGUACAUGGUAUUCGUAAACCUCAGGAGAACAGAGAUCGACAUCAAGUAAAGGCAGGUUGGACAAUUGACUUCUCAGAUGUUGAUUGACUACACCAAAUAUAACUCAUGGAACCACUACAAAAAUUCCCUAUUCCCAGGAAAAAGAAUCCAACACUGUCCAUUUCAGUGGGAAGAGUACAAUCAAGCAGCUAAUUAGCAAAAUAAAGGUUCCUGGAUUGUGAGCACAGUUUCCCACAAAACAUCUUUGAGAAAGCUGACAGAUGGUCAUGUAGCAAG